GACGAACGCUGGCGGCGUGCUUAACACAUGCAAGUCGAACGAUGAAGCCGGAGCUUGCUCUGGUGAAUUAGUGGCGAACGGGUGAGUAACACGUGAGUAACCUGCCCUUGACUCUGGGAUAACUGCGGGAAACUGUAGCUAAUACCGGAUACGACCCUCGGAGGCAUCUCCUGGGGGUGGAAAGAAUUUCGGUCAAGGAUGGACUCGCGGCCUAUCAGCUAGUUGGAGAGGUAAAGGCUCACCAAGGCGACGACGGGUAGCCGGCCUGAGAGGGUGACCGGCCACACUGGGACUGAGACACGGCCCAGACUCCUACGGGAGACAGCAGUGGGGAAUAUUGCACAAUGGGCGCAAGCCUGAUGCAGCAACGCCGCGUGAGGGAUGACGACCUUCGGGUUGUAAACCUCUUUUAGCAGGGAAGAAGCGAAAGUGACGGUACCUGCAGAAAAAGCACCGGCUAACUACGUGCCAGCCGCCGCGGUAA
rnacentral:rRNA from 1 species